CGGACUGUGUGCAAGCGAGUCCCUCCAUGCCAGCAUGCCGCAAAGGAAGCGAUAGAUUUAUAGACGGGCACACACACACACACGCACGCACAUACACGCGCAUCUCUUGGUGCACCACUGGACACUCCCCCAACCACUCCGCCCGCCCCUCUGCCAACACGAGCGAGCCUGUUUGUGGAUUGAGUGCGUGUUCACGCGCUGUUGCUCCGCACAUCGACAGCAGAGUCUCCAACGAGACGGCGGAGCCUUCCUCCGCCCGCCCGCCUCUCUCUCCCCCUCCUUACCUCCUCGCCAAAAUGCAUUUGCGAAUAGGUAGCUUCAACGUGUGCUGCUACCACGACUGCACCAAUGCAGCAGCGAUUCACGCAGAGCUGAAGCGACGCCACAUCGAUGCCGCCGUCGUGGACCAUGCCUUUCUGAUCUCGCCGCUGCAACUAGCCGUGGCGCUGUUUCGGGUGGAGGCGAGUGCGGACAUGUUGGCAACACUGUUAUCGUCCACCAUUUCUCCUCCCCUCGCGGAGGCAUCUUCGCCGUCUUCAGCGUCGACAAGUGCGUCACCAUCACUGCCGCCGCUGCUGCAGCAGCAAACGACCCGUCGAGUUUCGAACAGUCGUCAAAUUUUUGCUGCUCUGUCUCUCUCACACAACUUGGACCGCAUUCUGCAGGUGCUCCCCCCCGGGCCGCAGACAACUAGCGUGGUGAUUAUCUACAAGCGUUCGGGCAGCGCGCGUGCUGCUGCCGUGUCCUUUGCAGACGAUGUGGGGGCUGGCAGCGCGGUAGCAUCUACGGUGCAGGACGGCAAGGACCUCGAUGCCACCAUUCACGCCUGUGUGCAGCUGACGAACAGCGCCGCACAGGCGCACACGUUUGCGCUCAUCACGGAGCCCUUCUGGACCGGUGCUGCCUUUGCGUUUGCCGAUGUGUCGAAGGUGGCCCUCUUCUACGGCAUCUCAGAGUCCAUGCUCCUCGCCGCCCAGCGCAGCAUGACCCGUGCCGACGUGCGUCGCGUGUGCGUCGGCGCGGAGUCGCAGGAGGCGCAGGCGCAGGCGCUCCGGUGGCACGCAUUGGAAGUCUGCGUGACGACGCUGCUGUCUGCGUGCACGGCAUAGAGCGGGUAGCAGGCAGGAGGCAUGCUGAUGGCACAUCCAAGGGUGUGCCUAAGUAGACACGCACACACGUAGGGAGUAUAGCGCAUGGAUAGAAACGUCACGUGAAGUUAUAUGCGCAGUAACAGCCAACGUGGAAGAGAGAAGAGCAAGAGCGGGAGACGCACUCACACACACGCAGAUCUAUAUAUAUAUAUAUAUAUACAUACUUUUGUGUGUAUGUGUGUGAGGCGUUCGUGGGCUGUAUGCGAGAGACUCGCCGUGCCGACACAUGGCACCUCUGUGCCUUCGUGUUUCUCCUUCCUAUGCAUGCGCACAUACACAC
rnacentral:misc_RNA from 1 species